GAGGGUAUAGCUCAAGUGGUAGAGCACAUGGUUAGCAUACACAAGGUCCUGGGUUCAAUCCCCAGUACCUCCU
rnacentral:tRNA from 1 species